rnacentral:piRNA from 1 species
GCCAAGGUAAAGCCUAGAGUUGGGCCCUG